AUUUAAGUAGUUUAAAAAAAAUUUAAGUUUGUGAUGCUUAGGAUGUAGAAAUUACCUUAGAUA
rnacentral:tRNA from 1 species